rnacentral:rRNA from 1 species
GACGGAGGAUGCAAGUGUUAUCCGGAAUCACUGGGCGUAAAGCGUCUGUAGGUGGUUUAAAAAGUCCACUGUUAAAGAUUGAAGCUCAACUUCAAAAAUGCCGUGGAAACUUUUAAACUUGAGUAUGAUAGGGGUAGAGGGAAUUUCCGAGUGGAGCGGUGAAAUGCGUAGAUAUUGGAAAGACCACCAAUGGCGAAGGCACUCUACUGGGCCAUUACUGACACUGAGAGACGAAAGCUAGGGGAGCAAAUGGG